UACGGAGGGUGCGAGCGUUGUUCGGAUUCACUGGGUAUAAAGGGUUCGUAGGCGGUCCCGUAAGUCAGAGGUGAAAGCUGCCGGCUCAACUGGCAAAUUGCCCUUGAAACUGCGGGACUUGAGUCCGGGAGAGGAAGGUGGAAUUCCUGGUGUAGCGGUGAAAUGCGUAAAUAUCAGGAGGAACACCGGUGGCGAAGGCGGCCUUCUGGUCCGGUACUGACGCUGAGGAACGAAAGCUAGGGGAG
rnacentral:rRNA from 1 species